GGGUUUAUUGCAAGGCAUAAAACCAGUGUCUGACAAUGCCUGCCAGGAUGGGCACUGAUGAAUAUGGUUGAACGGAACUCCAAGGACCACCCAGGUUGAUAGUAGUGAGCAACGAGGUGCACUGAGCACUUGUCGGGGCUGUGUUUGGAGCCCAUCAACAGUGCUACCAGCUUUAGUUCCAUCAACCCCAGGCUUUUGUAACAACUGGUUGCAUGAAACCCUCCCUUGUAGUUUGUGUACAGAAGACUGCAAUGAAUUGAAGUCAUGAGACAUACAGCCAGGAUCCUGAAAGCCACCAACAUAUGUCACCUGCCUGGGAGGCUUGCUUCGAUGGUCAUCUUGUUCUGCCUGCUAAGACCAGGAGUCACAGCUGUUGACAUCAUGGUGAAUAAAAACAUUUUCUGCCACAGGU
ensembl:lncRNA novel transcript, sense overlapping SSTR4